rnacentral:rRNA from 1 species
UUAAGUUAGUGGCGGACGGGUGAGUAACGCGUGGGUAACCUGCCGUAUACCGGGGGAUAGCACCUGGAAACAGGUGCUAAUACCGCAUAAGCGCACGGGACCGCAUGGUCCAGUGUGAAAAACCGAGGUGGUAUGCGAUGGACCCGCGUCUGAUUAGCCAGUUGGCAGGGUAACGGCCUACCAAAGCGACGAUCAGUAGCCGGCCUGAGAGGGUGGACGGCCACAUUGGGACUGAGACACGGCCCAAACUCCUACGGAAGGCAGCAG